rnacentral:rRNA from 1 species
CACGUAGGGUGCGAGCGUUGUCCGGAAUUAUUGGGCGUAAAGAGCUCGUAGGCGGUCUGUCGCGUCGAUCGUGAAAACUUGGGGCUUAACCCUGAGCUUGCGGUCGAUACGGGCAUGACUGGAGUUCGGCAGGGGAGACUGGAAUUCCUGGUGUAGCGGUGAAAUGCGCAGAUAUCAGGAGGAACACCGGUGGCGAAGGCGGGUCUCUGGGCCGAUAUUGACGCUGAGGAGCGAAAGCGUGGGGAGCAAACAGG